UACGUAGGGUGCGAGCGUUAAUCGGAAUUACUGGGCGUAAAGCGUGCGCAGGCGGUUUUGUAAGCCAGAUGUGAAAUCCCCGGGCUUAACCUGGGAACUGCAUUUGUGACUGCAUGGCUAGAGUUUGGCAGAGGGGGGUAGAAUUCCACGUGUAGCAGUGAAAUGCGUAGAUAUGUGGAGGAACACCGAUGGCGAAGGCAGCCCCCUGGGUCAAGACUGACGCUCAUGCACGAAAGCGUGGGGAGCAAACAGG
rnacentral:rRNA from 1 species